AUCUGUAUAUGCAUGUGUUCAAGUGUGUCUGUGCAACUGUAUAGGUGUCAGUGCAUGUAUCUAUGUCUGUGUAUCUACAUCUGUAUCUGUGCAGCUGUAUGUGUGGCAGUGUGUAUCUGCAUGUGUGGCGGUGUUUGUACCCGUGUCUCUAUACAUCUGUAUGUGUGUCAGUUGGCAUCUGUAUGUGUCAAUGUGUCUGUAUCUGUCUGUAUGUGUGGCAGUGUUUCCAUAUAUUUGUAUCUACAUGUGUGGCAAUAUGUCUGUGCAACUGUAUGCGUGACAGUGUUUGUAUUGGUGUGUCUGUGUAUCUGUAUGUAUGUUAGUAUCAUCAGUGUACUGUGUAACUUUAUGUGUGGCAGUGUUUGCAUGUGUGGUAGUGUUUGUAUCUGUGACUGUACAUCUGUAUAUGUGGCAGUGUGUGUAUUUGUGUAGCAGUGUUUGUAUCUGUGCAACUGUAUGUGUGGCAGUGUUUGUAGCUGUGUGUCUGCAUGUGUGUCAGUGUAUGUAUCACUGUGUCUGUGUAAUUGUACAGGUGGCAGUGUUUCUGUGUCUGUACAUCUAUAUGCAUGUCAGUGUGUGUACCGUUGUGUCUGUAUUUGCAUGUGUGGCAGUGCUUGUAUCUGUGUAACUGCAUUUGUGUCAGCAUGUGUAUUAAUGUGCCUGUACAGCUGCAUGUGUGUCAGUGUUUGUAUCUGUGUGUCUAUGAAUCUACAUGUGUCAGUGUGUGUCUAUGUAUCUGCAUGUCUAUAUCUGUGUGUGUGUGCGUCAUUGUUUGUAUGUGUAUUUGCAUGUGUGGCAUGUUUGUAUCUGUAUGUCUGUGCAUCUGCAUGUGUGGCAGUGUGUGUGUGUCUGUAUCUGAAUGUGUGGCAGUGUGUGUGUCUGUAUCUGAAUGUGUGGCAGUGUGUGUAUCUGCAAUCUGCACUGUAUAAUAUGUAGAUACCCCGAGACACACAGGUACAAACAAUGACACAAAUAUAGUUGCACAGUUACAUACAUAUAGC